UACGGGGGGGGCAAGCGUUGUUCGGAAUUACUGGGCGUAAAGGGCUCGUAGGCGGCCAACUAAGUCAGACGUGAAAUCCCUCGGCUUAACCGGGGAACUGCGUCUGAUACUGGAUGGCUUGAGUUUGGGAGAGGGAUGCGGAAUUCCAGGUGUAGCGGUGAAAUGCGUAGAUAUCAGGAGGAACACCAGUGGUGAAGGCGGUGCUCUGGGCCGGAACUGACGCUGAGGAGCGAAAGCGUGGGGAGCAAACAGG
rnacentral:rRNA from 1 species